rnacentral:rRNA from 1 species
UACGGAGGGGCUAGCGUUGUUCGGAAUUACUGGGCGUAAAGCGCACGUAGGCGGCUUUGCAAGUUAGAGGUGAAAGCCCGGGGCUCAACUCCGGAAUUGCCUUUAAAACUGCAUCGCUAGUAAUGUGGAGAGGUAAGUGGAAUUCCGAGUGUAGAGGUGAAAUUCGUAGAUAUUCGGAAGAACACCAGUGGCGAAGGCGACUUACUGGACACAUAUUGACGCUGAGGUGCGAAAAGCGUGGGGAGCAAACA